AGCGAACGCUGGCGGCAGGCCUAACACAUGCAAGUCGAACGAACCUUUCGGGGUUAGUGGCGGACGGGUGAGUAACACGUGGGAACGUGCCUUUAGGUUCGGAAUAACUCAGGGAAACUUGUGCUAAUACCGAAUGUGCCCUUCGGGGGAAAGAUUUAUCGCCUUUAGAGCGGCCCGCGUCUGAUUAGCUAGUUGGUUGAGGUAAUGGCACACCAAGGCGACGAUCAGUAGCUGGUCUGAGAGGAUGAUCAGCCACAUUGGGACUGAGACACGGCCCAAACUCCUACGGGAGGCAGCAGUGGGGAAUCUUGCGCAAUGGGCGAAAGCCUGACGCAGCCAUGCCGCGUGAAUGAUGAAGGUCUUAGGAUUGUAAAAUUCUUUCACCGGGGACGAUAAUGACGGUACCCGGAGAAGAAGCCCCGGCUAACUUCGUG
rnacentral:rRNA from 1 species